rnacentral:rRNA from 1 species
GACGAACACUGGCGGCGUGCUUAACACAUGCAAGUCGAACGGAAAGGCCCGCUUCGGUGGGUACUCGAGUGGCGAACGGGUGAGUAACACGUGGGUAAUCUGCCCUUGACUGGGGGACAACCGAGGGAAACUUCGGCUAAUACCGCAUAAUGUGCCGCCCUGCAGGGGGAGGCACCAAAGGUAGCUUCGGCUUCCGGUCUUGGAUGAGCCCGCGGAGGAUUAGCUUGUUGGUGGGGUAAAGGCCUACCAAGGCGACGAUCCUUAGCUGGUCUGAGAGGACGAUCAGCCACACUGGAACUGAGACACGGUCCAGACUCCUGCGGGAGGCAGCAGUGGGGAAUCUUGCGCAAUGGGCGAAAGCCUGACGCAGCAACGCCGCGUGUGGGAAGACGGCCUUCGGGUUGUAAACCACUUUCAGUAGGGACGAAGCUUCCAGGGUGAAUAGCUCUGUGGAGUGACGGUACCUACAGAAGAAGCUCCGGCUAACUACGUGCCAGCCGCCGCAGUAA